rnacentral:rRNA from 1 species
GACGAACGCUGGCGGCGUGCCUAAUACAUGCAAGUAGAACGCUGAAGGAGGAGCUUGCUUCUCUGGAUGAGUUGCGAACGGGUGAGUAACGCGUAGGUAACCUGCCUGGUAGCGGGGGAUAACUAUUGGAAACGAUAGCUAGUACCGCAUAAGAGUAGAUGUUGCAUGACAUUUGCUUAAAAGGUGCAAUUGCAUCACUACCAGAUGGACCUGCGUUGUAUUAGCUAGUUGGUGGGGUAACGGCUCACCAAGGCGACGAUACAUAGCCGACCUGAGAGGGUGAUCGGCCACACUGGGACUGAGACACGGCCCAGACUCCUACGGGAGGCAGCAGUAGGGAAUCUUCGGCAAUGGACGGAAGUCUGACCGAGCAACGCCGCGGGAGUGAAGAAGGUUUUCGGAUCGUAAAGCUCUGUUGUAAGAGAAGAACGAGUGUGAGAGUGGAAAGUUCACACUGUGACGGUAUCUUACCAGAAAGGGACGGCUAACUACGUG